GUGAGGGUGAUGAAAAAAAUCAUUCGGAUUCCCAAUGAAUAAAAAAUGUGAUUAUUUUACCAGCUACUUUUGACUCAU
rnacentral:snoRNA from 2 species